UACGGAGGGUGCAAGCGUUAAUCGGAAUUACUGGGCGUAAAGCGUGCGCAGGCGGUUUGGUAAGUCCGCUGUGAAAUCCCCGAGCUCAACUUGGGAAUUGCAGUGGAUACUGCCAAGCUGGAGUAUGGUAGAGGAAGGUGGAAUUCCCGGUGUAGCAGGGAAAUGCGUAGAGAUCGUAAGGAAGACCAGUGGCGAAGGCGAGUUUCUGGACGGUAACUGACGCUGAGGCACGAAGGCCAGGGGAGCAAACGGG
rnacentral:rRNA from 1 species